rnacentral:rRNA from 1 species
UACGAAGGGGGCUAGCGUUGCUCGGAAUCACUGGGCGUAAAGGGUGCGUAGGCGGGUCUUUAAGUCAGGGGUGAAAUCCUGGAGCUCAACUCCAGAACUGCCUUUGAUACUGAAGAUCUUGAGUUCGGGAGAGGUGAGUGGAACUGCGAGUGUAGAGGUGAAAUUCGUAGAUAUUCGCAAGAACACCAGUGGCGAAGGCGGCUCACUGGCCCGAUACUGAUGCUGAGGCACGAAAGCGUGGGGAGCAAACAGG